AAGAGGGGGUUGGGGGAAGUCGAAGAGGGCAAAAAUGGGAUAAAUGGUGGCAGAAAGAAACUUGACUUUGGGUGGUGAGCAUACAAUGCAGUAUACGAAUAAUGGAUUAUAGAAUUGUACACCUGAAAUCUCUACAUUUUUAUUAAAUAAUGUCACCCCAAUAUACUCAAUUAAUAAAGAGA